rnacentral:lncRNA from 1 species
AUCCUUAAAAUAAAAAAAAUAAAAACUCCUUUUUAAUCCUAUAAAAUAUUUCCUAUUUUUGCUGACUUAUGGUUCUCCAUGUCAGUUUUGCUUAAUUCUUUAACUCCUAGUCAGUAGUUUAUAUUUAAACUCUCAAUCCUUAAAAUAUCAACACCUUUUUAAUCCUUUAUUUCCUAUUUUUGCUGACUUAUUUAAAAUCUGUCAGUUUUUGCUAAUCUCCUUAACUCCUAAACAGUAUUUAUACAACUGAACUUUUAAGCCUUAAAAUAACAACACCUUUUUAAUCCUAUAUUUCCUAUUUUUGCUGACUUAUUCACUAUCUGUCAGUUUUGCUUACUUCCUUGCAAAUAUAAUCCUACUUGCCUAAAAUUUCAACUUUCUCAAACAAGAGUAGUGAACCCUGGCAAAAAAGCUUGACGAAAUCGUUAGACGAGAAGCCAUCAGGACCUGAACGCUGGAGACAAAAGGUUCUGCAUCACUGCGGAUCUCAGAUCUGCAACUUACUACACAGAUAGUUACGUUAGACGAGAAACCACCAGGACCUGAACGCCAAAGGAUCUGGGAGAACCAAGAGGAUCUGGGAGACCUCACAGCCGUAAUCUUCGGUGAAGAAUAACGUUAAACUGAAACCUGGAGGACUAAUGAGCGGUGAACCUCAGAGAACCUAGCGGAUCCUACAGCUUCUUCUCUCAGCACAUAAUAACGUUUGUGGAAACUGUAACGCCUCCUGAACCGUCAAAUCUCACCGCCACGAAAUCAUGAUGUCUCAAGAAGAGGAGAUAAUUAAGCUACAUCGAUAUCUCAAAAUCCUUGCACAAAAUAAACGUGCACCAUACCCUGCUAUACCUUGAUGAUUUGAGAGAAAUGAAGAGGUUAAGCACUAAUCUCUAUUCAAUAUCCUAGACAGUAGCGCAGAACCAAUGUUCUACGUGUGUCUGGUUUUUUAAGCAGAAUGUGUUUUUUUUCAAAUUGAAACUAAAUGCUUCUACAACAAGCUUUUUCACAUUUAACACUUCUUGAUUUUGUUUUCCAUAAUUACGUCGGCUAAUUAGCAUCAAGACGACAUAGUUUAACUAAUGGAAUGCCAUACUAACGUUGAACUUUCAAUGUUCUUCGUCAGUACAAUUGUAGUUUCUUGCAUAUUGCAUACAUUGCCAAUUCACCAUUGUUACAUAAAAACCUUAGAAUGCUUGCUCAAUCUGAUUUUCCACAUUAAAUGCUCAAUUAUAUGCAGACAAUUUUUAAAUCUUCUUCAUCGACUAACUUUAUGCAAUUUAUUCUAUGCAGUUUCAUUUUUGCACUAUUCAAUUUGUAUGUUUUGCAGGAUCCAAGUAUCCCUAAAUCAGAAUUCCUAAUGAAAGGAAAAAACGAUAAAAUUCAUCCGUACGAUUUUUUAUUAUUUAAUUUGAGAAUAUAUGUACACAAUAGCAUCGUUAAAUAGUUGUAUUAAAUAUAUGU